rnacentral:rRNA from 1 species
AUGGCGCCUCCAGCCAGAAACCUUAACCCUAAUCCGAACACUAACAACCCCGAUCCUCCCUUCGACCUGGGUAUUCUCUUCGGUUCGCCUCCUACCGCUGCGCCUACCGCUGCGCCCAUGUUCCCUGCCGCCGCCGGCCCGCCGCCUCCGUUCAGCCCUUACUCCCACCCCUCGGUCAUCUCUCCCUUUCACGGCGGCCCCUACCUCCACCACCCCUCGGUCAUCUCUCCCUUUCACGGCGGCCCCUACCUCCACUACACGCAGGAUUUUCAUCCCCCUAUGCCCCACCCAGCCAUCUCCUUCCCCAUGCACUGGCCAGCCAUCUCCUUCCCCAUUCCAGAUCUAAAUGCAAACCCUAGCGCCGCCUUGCCUGGCAGCUACCUUCACUACCCGCAGGAUCCCCGAUACUUCAUACCCUGCUCAGUCAACUCCUACAGGCGAGACCGGAACCUGAGUGUUAACCUCAGAGCCGCCUUGGGCCGCCUGCAGGAUCGCCAAUCUCCCAUGGCCAGCUCAGGCAACUCCAUCCACACACUGAACCCAAACACAAACCUGAACCUGAGGGCCAACCCCAGCGCCCCCUCGCACAGCCGCUACCUUCAGAACGCGCAGGAUAUUCGACAUUCCAUGCCCCGCCCAGUAAUAUCCUCUGCCAUGCCAAACCGGAGCGACAACCCCCGCACCGUCGCAGGUGCCGAACCUAAACAGAAUAAAGGAGCACCGAACGGAAGGCAGAACAAUUCUAAUGAUGUUAUUCACCUUUCUGAUUCUGAUUCUGAUUCUGAUUCUGAUGAUUUUUUUGAAGAAGAGGCUCCUCCCACACACUCCAAGUCAAAUGGGAAAGCUUCAUCUGAUAGCCUAAAAACUGGUGGAAAGGCUUCAUCCUUUUCUAAUGGAGAAGGUAGCAAAGGAGGGAAGGCAUUUAGUGCUGGGAAAGGCGGGAAGGGCUCCGCAUCAAAUGCAAAGCCUGCAAUGUCUGAUGCAGAACUAAAGCUUCAGCUUGAUAUGCCUCCAAAUUCUAUAUUGUUAUCGAACUGUGAAGCAGCAGAAAUGUUGCAGAAAAUUCAAGGACAUAUGGCUAUCUUAUCAGAGGAUCCGACUAUAAAAAUUCCCGAGUCGUUUGACAAGGCCUUUCAGUAUGCAAAAGAAGGAAAUCACUUCACCUCUGCGAAGUUGGUGAAAGAAAUCCUGGAACCUCUUAAAGACUAUGGUGUUAAUGAUGGCGAGAUAUGCAUGAUAGCGAACAUUGGGCCUGAGACCAUCGAAGAGGUUUAUGCACUGAUACCGUCUCUCAAGGCUACUAGGUCGAUCAAUGAAGGCAAGAUCGUGGAGGCUCUUGCUGCCCUCACUAAUAUAAAAGCCUCCAAGUGA